rnacentral:rRNA from 1 species
GAUGAAUGCUGGCGGCGUGCCUAAUACAUGCAAGUCGAGCGGUAAGGCCCUUCGGGGUGCACGAGCGGCGGACGGCUGAGUAACGCGUGGGAACAUGCCCCAAAGUGAGGGAUAACGCACCGAAAGGUGUGCUAAUACCGCAUAUGGUCUUCGGAUUAAAGGAUUUAUCCGCUUUGGGAGUGGCCCGCGUACGAUUAGAUUGUUGGUGAGGUAACGGCUCACCAAGUCGACGAUCGUUAACUGGUCUGAGAGGAUGAUCAGUCAGACUGGAACUGAGACACGGUCCAGACUCCUACGGGAGGCAGCAGUAAGGAAUCUUCCACAAUGGGCGAAAGACCUGAUGGAGCAACGCCGCGUGCAGGAUGAAGGACCUCGGUCGUAAACUAGCUUUAUUGUAGUGAAGAAUAU